CAGAAUGUGUUUUGACUCAGUUUAAUGUCUUUUUCAGGCUGAUGAUCUUUCUUCUACAUUUCCUCGCUGAUCACCUGAGGCUUGCCCCACAGCCAUGGGGAAUCAGAUGAGGGCAAUGCUGAUCUAUCUGAAGUACAAAGACACCUUCCUCUUGACCACUGUCCUUGGGUUGGGGCGGAUGCAAGGUAGGAGGAGCAGAGGGCUGAGCCAGGACAUCGUCCACCAGAGAAGUCCGGCUGGCUCCUAACCUGUCAUUUCUGAGAAUCUGGAAGGAAGGCAGGACCCAUGYUUCUGCAGGGCUGUGCCAGCAGAAAGAGCUGGAUUCAGGUUCUGUGCAGUGCCCCUGUGUAAGACAUGGCUGGAGGCGGUGACCUGCUCUGACUGAACCUACUCUGGAUGCUGUUGGAYUGUCAGUGGGAUGCUGAGCCUGUGCAGGUAACUGUAUAAUCUUGUGGUGCUAAAGCUGUUACAUCUUCAGGGUGUUGUGUUGCACCACCAAUGUGCUGG
rnacentral:lncRNA from 1 species